rnacentral:rRNA from 1 species
UACGUAGGGGGCUAGCGUUGUCCGGAAUCAUUGGGCGUAAAGCGCGCGUAGGCGGCCCGGUAAGUCCGUUGUGAAAGUCAAAGGCUCAACCUUUGAAAGCCGAUGGAUACUGCCGGGCUGGAGUCCGGAAGAGGCGAGUGGAAUUCCCGGUGUAGCGGUGAAAUGCGCAGAUAUCGGGAGGAACACCGGUGGCGAAGGCGGUUCUCUGGGCCUUACCUGACGCUGAGGAGCGAAAGCGUGGGGAGCGAACAGG